rnacentral:rRNA from 1 species
UACGGGGGGAGCAAGCGUUGUUCGGAUUUACUGGGCGUAAAGGGCGCGUAGGCGGCGUGACAAGUCACUUGUGAAAUCUCCCGGCUCAACUGGGAGGGGUCAUUCGAUACUGGCGGGCUCGAGGCCGGUAGGGGGUAGCGGAAUUCCCGGUGUAGUGGUGGAAUGCGUAGAUAUCGGGAGGAACACCAGUGGCGAAGGCGGCUACCUGGACCGGUUCUGACACUGAGGAGCGAAAGCGUGGGGAGCGAUCCGG